AAUAUUGCGCAAUGGACGGAAGUCUGACGCAGCGACGCCGCGUGAGCGAUGAAGGCCUUCGGGUCGUAAAGCUCUGUCCUUGGGGAAGAAGGUCUUCGGUCUUGACGGUACCCAAGAAGAAAGCCCCGGCUAACCACGUUCCAGCAGCCUCGGUAAUACGGAGGGGGCGCGCGUUGUCCGGAAUUACUGGGCGUAAAGGGUGCGUAGGCGGCCCUUUAAGUCAGAUGUGAAAGGCCACGGCUUAACCGUGGGAUUGCAUUUGAAACUGGAGGGCUUGAGUGUCGGAGAGGGUAGUGGAAUUCCCAGUGUAGCGGUGAAAUGCGUAGAUAUUGGGAGGAACACCAGUGGCGAAGGCGACUACCUGGACGAAAACUGACGCUGAGGCACGAAAGCUAGGGGAGCAAAC
rnacentral:rRNA from 1 species